UACGUAGGGGGCAAGCGUUGUCCGGAAUCAUUGGGCGUAAAGAGCGUGUAGGCGGCUCGGUAAGUCCGCUGUGAAAGUCCAGGGCUCAACCCCUGGAAUGCCGGUGGAAACUGUCGAGCUCGAGUCCGGAAGAGGCGAGUGGAAUUCCUGGUGUAGCGGUGAAAUGCGCAGAUAUCAGGAGGAACACCAAUGGCGAAGGCAGCUCCGCUGGGACGGUACUGACGCUGAGACGCGAAAGCGUGGGGGAGCAAACAGG
rnacentral:rRNA from 1 species